AUCACAUGUCUACGUCUAUUAUUCUAUGUUAUCUCAUUUACUCAAUGUAUUAUCCUAUGUAUUCAGAUUGUAAAUAUCUUUUAUAAAUAAUAAUAAAACAAUUAUCUUCCAUACUCACCAGUCUGUUAUUUUAUAAUAUGAUACAUAUCCAAGUAUAAUAUAUAAGUUAAUGCAUGUCGCAUUAGCUAUACCUAUAGGCAUAGGCAUAAAUAGAGGAGCGCUUUGGGGGUAUUAACACCCUCAAAUAUUUUUUUUAUACUAUUACAAUCAGUAGCUAUUCUACGCUAUGCCCGGAAAAUGAAGAGAUUAAGCAGCUUGUCAACAUCUGAGAGACUUUAUCCUCUAUGAAGAGGAUAAAUACGUAUCUAAGAUCUAAAAUUGAACAAACAAUAAACAAGUUUUAUGUGAAGAAUAAAAUGUUGUAAUUUUAAAAUAAUCAAUAUUAUAUAAUAUAUAGGUAUAUAAAACUGUUUUUAUUAAAUUUUAAUACAAUACAUUAAUAUUUUGACUGUUUUGAAUUGUAUCAUAGAUAAAGUUGUACCUAUGUAUGUAGUAUGUAGUUGGUGAAUCUCCCACUCUUUUUAUUCUUGAAGAUCAUAAUUUACAUCCAUGAUACACAGUUAAAUAUUAUACAAUAUGUAAUUUUUACUUUUUUAUCUGGUGAAAUCAAUAAUCAAACAAGAAUAUAAUUUUUUUUUUUUUAAUAUUGUUAUACUUUUUAUGUAUAACUAUAUAAUGCUUAAAAAAUCUAAUAUUAUGUCCAAAUUUUUACAAAAAAAAAAUAUGUAUAUAUAUUCUAUCAAAAAUACUUAAAUACCCACAGCAAUAAUUAUAUUUUUAGUUUAAAAUUUAUAAAGUUAUUUUUAAGUAUUAGCUUCUUAGCCUUUAGAAAGAAGUUAUCCAAAUAUUAAUCUCAUUUGCUUCUAAUAUAUAUAGUACCAUAUUCUUAGUAGUAGUGUGAUUUUAAAUAUAAUACCCAUAUUCAUAGGUAAUAGGUAUAACAAAUUACAAAUUAAAUAUAAUAAAAUGAAACACAAUACACAUAUUAUUACAGUGGCAGAUUUGAGGGGGGGACUUGGUGAUUAACCCCCCCCCCACCAUUGGGCUUUUUUUUUAAGGGGAUGCGCAGAACAAACUGAUUUUUUUCGGGCCGUGGCGUGCUCCCUUGCUGAACAGAGUGUAGUAUCUAUCAAUCUAUGAUACAAAUUCGCCCCCUCCUUAAAUGAGCUUCAGAUCCACUACUGUAUUAUUACUAAAAAGUUUUAAGCCUCUCUACAAACAACUAAUUUGACCUGCGAUGACUUAUAGCAUCCAAAUCUGGGGAUCGACCAAAGUUUCAAAUCUAAAAUUAUUCCAAUCUUUUCAGUCUAUAAACUUAUGUUUAUUAACCAAAGCUCCCUGGUACAUUAGCAAUAAAACUCUUCAUAAUGAUCUCAAAAUUCCUACUCUCUCUGAACUUGCUUCCACUCACUAUAUAAAAUUUCACUCCAACACAUUGAUUCACUCAAAUUCUCUAACAUCAAAUCUAUCCUCUCUCAGUCUCUUAUUAUCCCAGAUAAUCCUCCCCGAUGCUUAAAGCGUAAUUAGCCAUGUAAUCUCCUAAACAAAUAAUUUUCGGUGUAAAGUACUAAAAAAAAAUCUAAAUUAGUCUAAAAUCUAAUAAACAAAAACUAAAAAAAAAACUCAUUCAAGCUGAAGUAGCGUCACUAGACGCCCCCCUUCUCUCAAGCUGUCAAUCCUGUGUAAACUUAUAUUAUAUAUAUUAUUUAUUGUAAUUUUGUUAUAUACAGAUUGUAAAUAAAAUUAAAAAAAUAAAAGUUUUAAACUUAAUAUUUUA